rnacentral:rRNA from 1 species
AGAAUCAACGCUGGCGGCGUGCCUAACACAUGCAAGUCGCACGAGAAAGGGACUUCGGUCCUGAGUACAGUGGCGCACGGGUGAGUAACACGUGAAUAAUCUACCUCCGAGUGGGGAAUAACUGGGAGAAAUCUUAGCUAAUACCGCAUAACACUUACGAGUCAAAGCAGCAAUGCGCUUGGAGAGGAGUUCGCGGCAGAUUAGUUAGUUGGCGGGGUAAUGGCCCACCAAGACGAUGAUCUGUAUCCGGCCUGAGAGGGCGCACGGACACACUGGAACUGAAACACGGUCCAGACUCCUACGGAGGCAGCAGUGGGGAAUUUUGCGCAAUGGGGGAAACCCUGACGCAGCAACGCCGCGUGGAGGAUGAAAUCCCUUGGGAUGUAAACUCCUUUCGAUAGGGAAGAUAAUGACGGUACCUAUAGAAGAAGCCCGGCUAACUUCGCGCCAGCAGCCGC